UUUUAGCCCCGAUAGUCGUGGAAAUCCUUUUUUGACUUGCCAUGGGUUUUAACCCGUGGUAAUUUAAAAAAGAUUGUAACAGAUAGCGGGAAAAUGG
rnacentral:sRNA from 1 species